GGCAGAGGCUGGAUUAAUAAAUGUUUGUUAGAAAGUUGUUCUGACACACAGUGAACUCUGGGCUUUUCUCCUGCAUAAAAAGCAGAGCUAGCAGUAAGUGCAAAUCUGAAGAAAAUCCAUGUGUCCAAUAAGCUGCCAUCUCCAGAACUCUUCAUUACCCGCUAGGAUGAAACUCCCCACACAAGAGAUGAAGCCCGAGAGAAAAGAGUUGAAGGGGAAGGUCCCCACGAGGAGACAGUAACCGAACUGCAGCGCCCCGGUCAGCAGUAUAUACAGCAGGUACGCGUCCAGCAACUUCAGACGCUGCGGAGUGGAGCUCAAGUACUCUUCUAAGAACCGCGAAAUGACAGACACUACCGACGCCGACAUAACUGCACGCAAGGUACUCCGGUCCGCGCCCCAAACUCUUGGAGGACCCGUCGACCACACCGGAUGUGCUGUUUGCGCAUGCGCACCCUCGUGACCUAACUCCGCCCUCCCCGGUGUGCCAAUUUGCGCAGGCGCUGAGGCCGGCCAGGGCGCGUAACAACUAAUGCGCAGACGCGGACUGCAUCAACAGACUCAACUACAACUCAGAAAAGUUAAUGCGUCUGCGCAAUGGCCCUAUCAAUGAGCUGGGGACGUGUACUCUUUCUGUUCUGUUUCCGCCCGUCAGCUCGGUGACGCCCACAGUUGCUCUGGCAACAAGACACACUGGGAGGAAGAGGGGAAUAAGCUUUACUGGGGACCGCGUAGCUAACCAGAGGUAUCCGGCUCUCUCUGGUCCUUCUGAGUCCUGGAAGAUUUAACGGUUUGCAUCUACUUUGAGGCAAUGCCUGGCGUUCCUGGGGUUUGAUACCAGCCUGACCCUAAUUCUGUUAAGGGCGCUGUCUGCAGAUGUCUGUCACAGAUCAUUGGAACAAGUCAAGUUCAUCCGCAGUGAGACCCGGCGCGGCCAAUCACUGCACAGGCCCCAGUUUAGACUUAAUUACUUGGGGGAGUGAGUGGGUGUGGUGAGGGGCGGGAGGCAGGGAGGAAGCCUGACCUCAGCAGGGUUCUGAACUGGAACUCGGGAUCUGGCCCUGCAAUGCCAACAUUUAUUGGGCGCCUCCUUGGGGCCUGACGUUGUACUAACUUGUAGGGACUCUCACGUGAAUCAGAUAUAUUUGCAGCCUUAAAAGAGCUGGUGAAGGGAGGGACAGCUGUCGAAUGUCGUGCAAAAAGCAUAUGGUCAAGUUUAGCAGCUCUCUUUCCGCAAGCUGGUAUCUUGAACCUGGUGUAAUAUCCCGGGAUGUCAGCGUCGAAAGGCCCGAAAGAGCAUGCCUGGUUCAACCCUACUCUCUCCAACUCAUUUUGCAGAAGAAACUGAAAUGGUUUCAGGUUUUGUAUUUUAACAAGUGGGAUUAUUUUGAGGGUUUUAACUGUUUUUUUUUUUUUUUUUGAGACGGAGCCUUGCUCUGUCGGCCAGGCUGGAGUGCAGUGUCGCGAUCUCGGCCCACUGCAACCUCCGCCUCCCUAGUAGCUGGGACUACAGGCACGCGCCACCACGCCCGGCUAAUUUUUGUAUUUUCAGUAGAGACGGAGUUUCACCAUUGUUAGCCAGGCUGGUCCCGAACUCCUGACCUUGUGAUCCGCCAGCCUCGGCCUCCCAAAGUGCUGGGAUUACAGGCAUGAGCCACUGCACCCGGCCUGUUUUAACUUUUUUUAAGAAAUUAAGUUCUGGCUUUCGUUGCCCUUUUAAUUUCACGUGAAUCCGACCUUCUAGACCCAGUUCAUCUCACCUUUUAGCUGUAAGUUUUUCCACACAUGACCAGGUACUUUAUUUUCAGCUUCUUAAUAUUUUGAACUGUACGUGAGCAAAAUUCCUAAAACAGCAGGUGAACAACAGCGUUCCUGCCUUUUCACUUUUUUUUUUUUUUUUUUUUGAGAUGAAGUUUUGCUCUUGUCACCCAGGCUGGAGUGCAGUGAAUGGUGCGAUCUCGGCUCACUGCAACCUCCACCUCCUGGGUUCAAGCCAUUCUCCUGCCUCAGCCUCCCGAGUAGCUGGGAUUAGAGGCACCUGCCACCACGCCCGGCUAAUUUUUGUAUUUUUAGUAGAAACGGGGUUUCGCCAUGUUGGCCAAGCUGAUCUUGAACUCCUGACCUCAGGUGAUCUGCCUGCUUCAGCCUCCCAAAGUGCUGGGAUUAUAGGAGUGAGCCACUGCGCCGGCCCCUUUUCACUUUUUAUUUGCCUUUAGACUGGAAACUCUACACGCAUUAACUAACGGAUGUAUUAUCAGUGGUGAUCAAAGCCUUACUUAAGUUCUAGAAAGAAGAGAAAUAACCUAAGAAACCUUUAGAGUCUAUUUGAAUAGAUAGAUUUAUAUUCAUACCCGUGGAGAUUUGUGCAGCUAUAUGAACAUAAGUUCAGCCUAAACCUAUGUUGCUGAGAAAGAAAAAAAAAGAGUGGAUAACAAGCUGGUUCUUAUUUCAAUAUAAUAUGGCAGGAAGCAUCAAUUUCUCUGACAAGUUGAACCUUUCUCUCUGCCUCAUCAACAAGUAGGAGGGUAGCUUCCUCACGAAUAUUCAACUUCAAACUUUACAGGCUAGGCUGAUGCUUUUUAAUCAUUCAGGUGUGGAUUCUUCAGGGAGUUUCUGUUCCAUCAGCCAGGCUCCUUCCAGUGUUUUCUCCCUUAUGUUUUGUCUGCCUUUGAUCCAUGUCAACUAUCAUCAUUAAGAUCUCCCCAGGAACUCUCACAGGAGAGAAGAAGAGAUGAAAAACACCAAAUGGACUUAUUGAAUGCAUUUGUUUCUGAGACCUGCUAGUCACACCAAUAUACUACACUAGGGCUUUUCUGAACUACUUAAAACAGCAAGAAAAGGC
rnacentral:lncRNA from 1 species